CAGCCGCCGCGGGAAUACGAAGGGUGCAAGCGUUAAUCGGAAUUACUGGGCGUAAAGCGUGCGUAGGCGGUGAGUUAAGUCUGCUGUGAAAUCCCCGGGUUCAACCUGGGAAUGGCAGCGGAUACUGGCUCGCUAGAGUGUGUCAGAGGAUGGUGGAAUUCCCGGUGUAGCGGUGAAAUGCGUAGAGAUCGGGAGGAACAUCAGUGGCGAAGGCGGCCAUCUGGGACAACACUGACGCUGAGGCACGAAAGCGUGGGGAGCAAACAGGAUUAGAUACCCCGGUAGUCCCUGUCUCUUAUAC
rnacentral:rRNA from 1 species